GAUGAAGAACGUAGCGAAAUGCGAUAAGUAAUGUGAAUUGCAGAAUUCAGUGAAUCAUCGAAUCUUUGAACGCACCUUGCACCCUUUGGCAUUCUGAAGGGUAUGCUCGUUUGAGUGUCAUUGUACUCUCACACUCCCGAUCUUUGCAUUGGGAGCAGUGGACUUGGGUUUGCUGCUUCACCGUCGCUUACCUCAAAUAGGUUAGUGCAACUCUUGGUUGGACAUAGUACGGCGUGAUAAGUGUUAUUCGCCGGUGCCUCGCAAAGAGGGUGGCCGAUCGGGAUGUUGUGCUCCAAACCGUCUUCGGACAAUCUCUGACGACUUGACCUCAAAUCGAGUAAGACUACCCGCUGAACUUAAGCAUAUCAAUAAGCGGAGGA
rnacentral:misc_RNA from 1 species